GGAGUUCUGAAGAACUCAACCUUCGUCUUCUCUCCUUGUGCGACGGCGGCCAGAACUCCCACGUCUCCGUCUUCGAUCAGAUACCACCGCCACCAAAACAAACUGAAUGAGACUCCAUCACCUCUCUCACGAACGACACAGUGGCGACGGCGCGGUGGAUCUCCCUUCUCCGAUCGAAACGGCGCCGGAGAAAUUGUCCUCCGAGCAGCACCUCCACACGGCACCAUAUCCUCUCUCGCUCAUCUCUUCUCUUUCGCUACUCAUCUCUCUCGAUUUAUUUUCGUCGGAGACCGUCCGGUGUGUCUUCGAUUGAGAUUCAGAGCGUGAAGUUUCAUUGUGGUGAUGAUAAUACUCGAUUGCAGAUUGAUGUUGUGGAGGUCGAUGUGUUGUUCGUGAUGAAUUUGUGGUGGAUUCAGUGAUGGUUUUUGAUGCAAAGUAUUGAAGAUUCACGAUGAUGAAGCGGUUCGAUUCAGAGAUGUUGAUGAAGGCGUGAUGUGAUGAAGAUUAAGAGUGUAUGAAGUUGAGAUAGAAGAUCGAUUUUCUGGUUUCGAUUGAAUCAAUGAUGAAGAAGAUUGGAGAGGGAGGCUCUGAAGGAUUGAUGAUGGAGAUGAUGCCUCGAGAGAAUUCAGAAGUUUGUUACGUUUUGUUCAAGGUGAAUCCCAUUUCGGUUCUCAAUUUCUAAGAUUUUUUGCAGAUAGAUGAUGGUGAUUGAUUACGAGUUCUCCGGAUUCAUUGAAUUUGUGUGAAGGAUCAUGAAGGUUCCGAUGGAGUUAUUGAAUUGGUGGUGAAGGUUGAAGAAAGGAUUCGAUGAUGGAUGAAGAUGGAUUGCAGAGAAAGAGUUUGUCACAGGUUCUCCUCCAAUUUCUGUUACCAGGUUGAAUCAAGAGAGAAAGAAUUGAAGAGAAUCGUGAAUGUGAAGAUGAUGAAGAUAGAAGGAGUGAUGAUGAAUGAUGAAGGUUCUUGGAGAGGCUCAAAGUUUGUUACGUUUCGGUUAUGAAGAUUUUGGUUUUUAUGUGUAGAUGCAAGGUUUGAAACUGUUAGCAUUAAAUCCGGUAUCGAAGAAAACACGUGGAAUGCAACAUGGAAGCAUUGCAUUGAUGAGGCUAUAGACUUUAGGAGAUAGGAGCCCAAUGUAUUUUUGUAUAAAUUUCCUUUGAAUGAUGUAAUGACUUUUGAA